rnacentral:rRNA from 1 species
AGAGUUUGAUCCUGGCUCAGAAUCAACGCUGGCGGCGUGCCUAACACAUGCAAGUCGAACGCGAACGCCCCGAAAGGGGCAAGUAGAGUGGCAAACGGGUGAGUAAUACGUGGGUGACCUGCCUUCGAGUGGGGGAUAACGUCUCGAAAGGGACGCUAAUACCGCAUGACAUCCUGCCUUUGAACAGGUGGAGAUCAAAGUCGGGGUCGCAAGACCUGACGCUUGAAGAGGGGCCCACGUCCGAUUAGCUAGUUGGUGAGGUAACGGCCCACCAAGGCGACGAUCGGUAGCCGGCCUAAAGAGGGCGGACGGCCACACUGGGGACUGAGACACGGCCCAGAACUCCUUACGGGGAGGGCAGCAGUGGGGGAAUUUGUUUCGCAAAUGGGCGCGAGCCCUGACGACCCAACCGCCGCCGUGGAAGGAAGGAAAAACCUUCCGGUCCGUAAACUCCUGGGCCAAGGGGGACCAAUGAACCGCCACCCUUAUAAGUCGUGGAAGUGGAAGGUACCGCUUGAGGGAAGCCCCCGCUAAAUUCCUGGCCGCAGCCGCGGUUAUUACCGGGGGGGGGCAAACGUUGUUCCGAAUUUACUGGGGGGAAAGGGGUCCCAAGCCGGCUCACUUAAUCAGAAGUGAAAUCCCCUCGGCUUAACACGAGGAACUGCUUCCGUGACUGGAUGCGCUCGGGACUCGGGGAGAAGUGAUGCGUACCUUCCAGCUGUAGCGGUGAGAUGCGUUGAGUAUUCCGGAGUAACACUCUGGCGGCGGAGAGCCGGCCAUGCCUGCUACUGCCACUGACGGUGAGGAGCGACACGCCAGGGGGCAGCUAAGCGGCGAUGUAGUUACCUCCCGCAGUAGUCCGUGCGCCUUAAAACGAUGAAUUGACUUGGGUGUGGGCGGGUUCAUCGAUCAAUCCCAUGCCGCGUGUCUAGGAAGGCUAAUCGCUAUUACGGCAUUCCCGCGUGGGAGGAGUACCGGGUCGCCAGGGCUUGAAUCUCAGAGGGAAUUGCACGGGGGGCCCCCCACAAGGCGGGUGGGAGCCAUUGUGUUUCAUUUUGGCCGCACCCGCGGAAAGACCCUUUACCCCAGGCUUGAACCAGGCGAGGUGCCCACUCUCAGGAAAGUGGAGUUUCCCCCACGGACCCUUUGGUGAAGGUGCUGGCAUGGCCUGUUCGUUCAGGCUCGUGGUCGUGGAGAUGUUGGGGUUAGGGUCCCGCAACGGAGCCGCCAACCCUUGUCCCUCUGUUGCCCAUCACGGUUAUGGGUGGGGCACUCCUGAGGAGACUGCCCGGUGAUAAACCGGAGGGAAGGUGGGGAUGACGUCAAGUCAGCAUGGCCUUUAUGUCUGGGGCUACACACGUGCUACAAUGGCCGGUACAAACCGUCGCGAUCCCGCGAGGGGGAGCUAAUCGGAAAAAGCCGGUCUCAGUUCGGAUUGCAGGCUGCAACUCGCCUGCAUGAAGUUGGAAUCGCUAGUAAUCGCGGAUCAGCACGCCGCGGUGAAUACGUUCCCGGGCCUUGUACACACCGCCCGUCACAUCACGAAAGCCGGCUGUACUAGAAGUCGCUGCGCCAACCCGCAAGGGAGGUAAGUGCCUAAGGUAUGGUCGGUGAUUGGGGUGAAGUCGUAACAAGGUAACC